UACGUAGGGUGCAAGCGUUAAUCGGAAUUACUGGGCGUAAAGCGUGCGCAGGCGAUUGUGCAAGACCGAUGUGAAAUCCCCGGGCUUAACCUGGGAAUGGCAUUGGUGACUGCACGGCUAGAGUGUGUCAGAGGGGGGUAGAAUUCCACGUGUAGCAGUGAAAUGCGUAGAGAUGUGGAGGAAUACCGAUGGCGAAAGGCAGCCCCCCUGGGAUAACACUGACGCUCAUGCACGAAAGCGUGGGGAGCAAACAGG
rnacentral:rRNA from 1 species